GACGAACGCUGGCGGCGUGCUUAACACAUGCAAGUCGAGCGAGUGGAUUCCCUUCGGGGAUGAAGCUAGCGGCGGACGGGUGAGUAACACGUGGGCAACCUGCCUUAUAGAGGGGGAUAGCCUUCCGAAAGGAAGAUUAAUACCGCAUAACAUCAGAUUAUCGCAUGGUAGACCGAUCAAAGGAGCAAUCCGCUAUAAGAUGGGCCCGCGUCGCAUUAGCUAGUUGGUGAGGUAACGGCUCACCAAGGCGACGAUGCGUAGCCGACCUGAGAGGGUGAUCGGCCACAUUGGGACUGAGACACGGCCCAGACUCCUACGGGAGGCAGCAGUGGGGAAUAUUGCACAAUGGGGGAAACCCUGAUGCAGCAACGCCGCGUGAGUGAUGAAGGCCUUCGGGUUGUAAAGCUCUUUGAUCAGGGACGAUAAUGACGGUACCUGAAGAACGAGCCACGGCUAACUACGUGCCAGCCGCCGCCGUAAUAC
rnacentral:rRNA from 1 species